GUGGGGAAUAUUGGGCAAUGGGGGAAACCCUGACCCAGCAACGCCGCGUGAAGGAAGAAGGCUUUCGGGUUGUAAACUUCUUUGACCAGGGACGAAAAAAAUGACGGUACCUGGAGAAUAAGCCACGGCUAACUACGUGCCAGCAGCCGCGGUAAUACGUAGGUGGCAAGCGUUGUCCGGAUUUACUGGGUGUAAAGGGCGCGUAGGCGGGAGAGCAAGUCAGGAGUGAAAUCUAUGGGCUUAACCCAUAAAUUGCUUUUGAAACUGUUUUUCUUGAGUGAUGGAGAGGCAAGCGGAAUUCCUAGUGUAGCGGUGAAAUGCGUAGAUAUUAGGAGGAACACCAGUGGCGAAGGCGGCUUGCUGGACAUUAACUGACGCUGAUGCGCGAAAGCGUGGGGAGCAAACAGGAUUAGAAACCCGUGUAGUCC
rnacentral:rRNA from 1 species